AACGAACGCUGGCGGCAUGCCUAACACAUGCAAGUCGAACGAGACCUUCGGGUCUUGUGGCGCACGGGUGCGUAACGCGUGGGAACCUGCCCUUAGGUUCGGAAUAACUCCCAGAAAGGGGUGCUAAUACCGGAUAAUGUCUUCGGACCAAAGAUUUAUCGCCUUUGGAUGGGCCAGCGUUGGAUUAGCUAGUUGGUAGGGUAAAAGCCUACCAAGGCGACGAUCCAUAGCUGGUCUGAGAGAAUGAUCAGCCACACUGGGACUGAGACACGGCCCAGACUCCUACGGAAUGCAGCAGUGGGGAAUAGUGGACAAUGGGCGAAAGCGUGAUCCAGCAAUGCCGCGUAAGUUAUGAAGGCCGUAGGGUUGUAAAGCUCUUUUACCCGGGAUGGUAAUGACGGUACCGGGUCAAUAAGCUCCGGCUAACUCCGUG
rnacentral:rRNA from 1 species